rnacentral:hammerhead_ribozyme from 1 species
AUCUAGGUGACGAGUCCCAAAUAGGAAUAAACUCGCGUCCUGGAU